UUCCAGAGACAGAGGAAAGGCUGAAGGUUGAGUUGAUUACCAGUAGCUCACGAUAUAAUCAUUCAUGCCUACAUAACACAGCUUUCAUAAGAACCCAAUAGGACAGGGUUCAAGGACCCUCUAAAGAAUGCCACACCUAUAGAGGCAUGGAAACUCUUUGCCACUUUCAUCUGACUAUUGAUCUAUAUCCUUUGUAAUGCCUCUUAUAAGAAAUGGGCAGAUGUCUAGCAGUGUUUGUGAGAAAAACUGAUGGAUCCUGCAGAUUAACUAUGGACAGCCAAAUAUUGAGUAAAGUGAUGUCUACAACAGCAUCAGCUAUGCCUGAUAUGGUGUUAAUUCACAUUGUGAAGGUUCCAAAAUCAGAAGAUGAUACAGAAAGAUUGCUCUGGUUGCCUGGUUUCUGAAGAAAUCGUGUACCCUGUCUGGAUAGUGUCUUACUUCCUAUCCACAAAGUUGUGAAAUAAUCUGGAAUUAAAUGGCAACCUAAACAACCCUAGAGUUGCCUGAACACAGAGCCAUUGCUGUGUUGAUCAUUAUAGCAGGUCCUCAAUAGGAAAAAGAUGCCUCCCUGGUCGACCUUCCUGGAAAGUAUGCAUAUCAUUACUGCUUAGAUUUUGUUGGAGAGAAAUCACACUACCAUCAAAGACAACGGGUCAAAAAGAAUGCCGUCCUAAGCUGAGAAGCCAUCUUCCUAACGACAGCCAUGUAAUAUGAAAGGGAAAAACACACUGUUAUUGAAGAACUUAUCAGCUAUGUCACAUCUUCCACACAAAUACUCAGGAAAGUUAAAAGAAAAUUUUACCUCGGACACAGUUGAUGUACCUCAGUCUUGUACAAAACUUAGAACUCACUAAGUCUGAAAUAAGACUUUAAACUCUCUCUGAGGUGAAGUUGGGAUUGCUAAAGUCCUAUUGCAUGCUUUAAGAUGCCUUGCGUUUGGUGAAUUGAAGCCUGAUAUGUCAACAUACUCUCUGUAAACACAGCAGCACAGAGGGCAAAGAAACACUUAUCCAGCACCACAGCUAGGACAAAAGGAAUUAUUUUGACAGUAAAUGGACUUGCAGCUUAAGUUAAGUGCAUUAAUAUUGGGAUGGUAUUAACUAUACAAAAUUGUUUCUAAGCAAAGGUGACCAGAUGUCCUAAUUUGACUGAUUGAUUUGUUUGCUUAGUUAAAUACCCUUGUAAUUUGAUUGUUUAUAGAUGUUUGCCUACUCUUAUUUUCACUAUAGGUUGGUAUGUACCCAAUUGUGACUAAACCAAAAGAAACAAAUCUGGAAACUGAAGUAUCAAUACGUGAAAAGCGUUCUUUUGGUAUUGGGAGUGCCAGGUUGUCUUUGUUUCAUGAACUACUUCUCCGUAAUAGCAUGCAGCCAUCUUCAAGAGGUGAGAAUUUCACUUAGCGACUUAAACAGAAGUGUUAUCUCAAGAUAAUAUAAUAUCUGGAGGUAUGUGGCUGCUACUGUUUGGGUAAAACAGCAUCCCCAGGAUAAACAGGUGAGGAAUCACAGAGCAAUUUAAAAAGGAAUACUACACUCUUCCUUAAAUAACAAAAACUGCGGCUGGGCGUGGUGGCUCACACUUGUAAUCCCAGCACUUUGGGAGGCCGAGGUGGGCGGAUCACGAGGUCAGGAGAUGGAGACCAUCUUGGCUAACACGGUGAAACCCCGUCUCUACUAAAAAUACAAAAAAUUACACAGGCGCGGUGGCGGGCGCCUAUAGUCCCAGCUACCCGGGAGGCUGAGGCGGGAGAAUGGCGCGAACCUGGGAGGCGGAGCUUGCAGUGAGCCAAGAUCGCGCCACUGCACUCCAGCCUGGGCGACAGAGCAAAACUUCGUCUCGCUAUGUCAUUUCUAUAUUGCCUGACCUAAAGGAAAAGAAAAAGGAUUACUCAAAGUUAUU
rnacentral:lncRNA from 10 species